rnacentral:rRNA from 1 species
UACGAAGGGGGCUAGCGUUGCUCGGAAUUACUGGGCGUAAAGCGCGCGCAGGCGGUCUUUCAAGUCAGUGGUGAAAGCCUGGAGCUCAACUCCAGAACUGCCAUUGAAACUGCAAGACUUGAGUACGAGAGAGGUGAGUGGAAUUCCCAGUGUAGAGGUGAAAUUCGUAGAUAUUGGGAAGAACACCGGUGGCGAAGGCGGCUCACUGGCUCGUAACUGACGCUCAGGCGCGACAGCGUGGGGAUCAAACAGG